AGGGAAGCUCGAUGCGUUUGAGAAGAGCAAUAGCAUAGGGGAGUUUUGCCGCCACCACAGUUGCCAUGUUGCUACUAGAAGAGCCGCGGGAAACUCAAAUUGAUGCUGAUACAAUGUCGGUUUCUGUGCUCUAGGAAUGGGCAAGAAGAAGAACCUAGAGCACACUUAAAAAAUACAAUCAUAUCAGCACCAAUUGAAUUUCGCGCGGCUCUUUAGGUAGCAACAUGGCGCCUGCGAGGAGGGUUGCCAAACUCUCCUGCGUCUCUGUUUAAACUUAUCGGUCUCCCAUUACGUCUAUUUCCCAAGGCCACAAAGAAGAUCAACUGGGUUUUCGUGAGUGCUUUAUCCCGCUCAAGCUGCAGAAGCCACGUAAAACUAUCACCGGGAUCACUAAACAGUUCAUGAAAAUUACAAGAGAACUUUCACGAGAGUCUUUAUUCCGCUCAAGCUGCAGAAGUCACGUAAAACUAUCACCGGGAUCACUAAACACUUCAUGAAAAUUACAAGAGAACUUUCACGAGUCCUUAUCCCGCUCAAGCUGCAGAAGUCACGUAAAACUAUCACCGGGGUCACUAAACAGUCCAUGAAAAUUACAAAACUUCCACAAGAGGCUUUUCAAACACGCGAACUGAAGGUGGUCCAAACUAUAUCACUCCAUGGCUAUGCGUUUGAGAAUGCGGACCUUGAUACCAAAACCGUGUACAGUGCAGUCAGUCGCUGGAUGUUGGCGCUCAGGGUUAAGAGAAAUCCACUGCCUUUCCUUCUAGAUCUUAAGGUUGUCUCGCUAGUGAUCGUGUUAGCAAACCCUCGACCCAUUUCCCUGUGCAUAUUCCAGUUUGUGAUGACUCUUUUUUAUUUUUUUUUUUUAGUUUUGUUGGUAUGUUUAGUAUUUUAUGGUAGUGUUAGGACUGUAUAGACGAUCGUUUUGUUACUUUUUUUUUUUUACUUUUGGUUAUGUACUUUAUAGUUUUUUUCUGAUUCAUUCCACCUUGUGAUGAUUGUUGCAUUUCUGUAUGAUACGACUUUUUCUUUUGUUUAAUGGUAAGCCAGGCAUUUAAGAACGGAAGUAAGGAAAACGAGACAAAAAGAGUAAGGAGAAAAAAUCAGACUUUUUGAUUUGCUCUUCUCCGACUAUAUAAGAAAUUACGAAAGAAAUGUAAGGAAAAAAUUAAAUGAUGAAAGGAAAUUAAUUACAGGAUCAAAAAUUUCGCAUAAUCAUUACCCCUUCAUUUUUUCCUAUACCAACUAUUAAAUGAGAAAAAAAUGUCUGAGAUAGAAAAAAAUGUGGAAGGAUAUCACAUUUGAUGACAAGGAUAUAACAUUUCUUUGCAUUUUCUCUUACUUUCGCACAAAUUGACAAAGCAAGGAGAGAGAAAAUGAAUUGGAGGGUGAAUUUUAUAUAAUGACAUUUCUUAAUAUUUUCCUUUACUUCUACAACAAUUAACCAGAUAAGAAGAGAUGAGACCGAUUGCAGGACAAAUUUUAUAUAUUACGACAUUAUUUUACAUUUUUUUUUUACUUUCCCGCCAAAUAAAGAGAAAAUUAUCAAUCAGGAUAAGAAGUCACAUGAUUUUCCAAGAGUGAGGCGUCAGCGUGUGUGUCUCGGAGGCCAAAGUGUUCGUGAUUGCAUGAGACUUUUUACACGUACGAUAAGUUUUCUAAUCCUAAGGCGAUCCUAAUUUUAAUCCGGGUAGGAAGAGUGAGCGAUUGAUUUUGAUACGUUUUCCAUAACAGACUCAUCGUAUGACUCAAGACGAGGAGACUGUUUUUGUACAGUAAAGGAAGCAGCUCAAGGGCAAAAGAUAAAUGAAAAUGAAACCCGCAACAAAAAGGGAACAGUGGACAUUUUUUAUACGUUUUCCAUAACAGACACAUCGUUUAAUUAAGACGAUCAUUUUUUUUUUUUUUUUUUUUGUACAGUAAAGGAAGCAGCUCAAGGGCAAAAGAUAAAUGAAAAGAAGCUCGCAACAAAAAGGGAACAGUGGACAUUUUUAUACGUUUUCCAUAACAGACACAUCGUUUAAUUUUAAGACGAUUUUUUUUUAUUUUUUUAUUUUUUUUUUAUACAUUAAAGGAAGCGGCUCGAGGGCAAAAAACAGAUAAAAACAGAAAAGUCCGCUAACAAAAAAGGAACAGUUGGCAUUUUUUUUAUAUUUGUUUUCAGUAGCAGACUCAUUGUUUAACUAAAGAUGAUUUUUUUCACAUUUUUUUUACAGCUCUAGGGCGAAAAUAGAUAAAAAAACAAAAAACAAAAUAACCGCUAACAAAAAAGGAACUGUAAACAUUUUCGCUAACAGACGCAUCGUAAGACCUAAGACGAGAAGAUUUAAAUGAACAGAGAACCUUCCCUUCAGCAUAUAUAUAUAACCCGUGAGCACUGACGAUUGCCAUAAACCAGAACACCAGAGGAAUAGAGUAUCCAUCAUCCUUAUGCAAGAGUUGAGGGAUGAUCUUUACUCUUUCAUCCCUUUCACUUUGACCAAAAUCGACAACUCUUGGAAUCUUCUAAUGUACUCUUUAUGUAGAAGCAACUCCUCUCUGGCUUAUCUUUUCUAUAUUGUUUUGCCCUGUAACCUGCUUUCCUUGUAAAACAGAGAACAAAAAAAUCAUUGAAAUGCCCACGAAUACACGAAUUAUUUUUAUAUCUCUUUGCCCUUUGAUUUGGUUUCCUUGUGGUAAAAAAGGAACACAAAAAUAAUCGAAGUCCUCACGAAUGCAUACCAUCUUAUUUCUUUCUAUAUUAAUUUGCCCUUUGACUUUCCUUCCUUGUGGUAGAAAAUAAAGAAAAACCUCAUCGAAGUGCUCACAAAAGCGUCAUAUGCUGAUGGAAUCGUUCACUGUAUACAAGUGCUUUUAUUUCCCAUUUAAUACGUCUACUUCACUCCUCUAAGAGCCACACACACUCUAUUUUCAGUUUUCCGGUGAUUUGGGGCAGUGUGCGGCUCUUCAGAACUAUAGACUAAAAGAAAAGUAUAAGAGAAAGAACCAUGAAGCAUAACCAAUGUACAUAACACAGCUACGUAUAUGUAUAAAAGCGUAUCCAACUCUCUUAUCUCGCUCGACCGUGAUGCUGCAUUGUUUCGUCUAUUAUUUGUUCGUAUCUUCCUCUUGAUUCCUUUAUUUGUAUCUAUUAAAUCGUAUCCAACUCUCUACCGUGAUACACCUUUGUUUCAUUUGUCAUCAUCUCGAUUCCUUUGUAUCCAACUCUCAUAUGUUCCUUUACCCCGAUGUUCUUUUGUUUACUAUUGUUUUCUUCCGUUUAUAAAUGUUUCGAAACCUUACCUCGUUCCUUUGAAUCCGACUCUCUAACCUAACUCUUCUCUGAUGCUCUUUUGUUUUGUUUGUUAUUGUUUCCGAUCCUCUCCGCUCCUUUGUUUGUAUCUUUGUAUGUAUCAACUCCCUUAUACUCUUUUGCUCCGUUUAUUGUUUCAAAUCCUCUUUUAGAUCUCUUUGUAUUCAACGAUGAUGCUCUUGUUUCGUUUAUAGUUUCCAAUUCUCUCCUCGUAACCUUUGUAUCAACCCCGGUUCUCCAUUGUACCGUUUAUAACUAUUUCGGAUUCUCGCCUCGACUCCUUCGUAUGUAUCUUUGUAUAUGUCAAAUCUCUUCUACUUUUGUUACGUUAAUGUUUCCUCUCCUCUUCUCGAUCCUGUAUAUCCAACGGUGAUGCUCUUUUGUUUCGUCUCCUAUUGUCUCGGGUUCUCGCCUCGAUUCCUCUGUAUGUAUAUAGUGUAAGCCAGUGUACAUAUCAACGUGUCUGUAGGCGUGUGUGUGUGUACGUGUGUGAGCGUCUCGUGGCUGGGAACACACUAAUGCUAUCUUAAGUCCGCUUCGCCUGGUCCUCCCUCAACACUUCAGCUUCCUCCUCCUCCACAGCGGUUCCUCGCCCUCCCAGAAGCGCUCCUUGAAGUGGGUUGUUUAGAGGAAAGUGUGAGUUGUUGGUUGCCUUUGUUUUGUUUUACUUUAGGUUUGUUGGGUAGAUUUUGAUGGGUAGUUAGCUAGUUGUCUGUGUUUGUUUUCUUUCUGUCUUUCUGUCUAUUAAUCUCCGCCUCUAUCUCUUAUUUAUCUCUCCUUGUGUCUCAUCAUUUGUAUUACUCUUGGUUUGUGGGGUAAAUUUUGAUGGGUAGUUAGCUAGUUAUGUCUUUGCUUUUCGUUCUGUCUCUCUUUGUGUCUUUCUAUUUCUCUUUUAAUCUCUGUAUCUCCUAUUUUUCUCUCUCCCAUCUCAUCGUGUCAUGUUUUAUUCCUUUUUAUCUCUGUUUCUGUCUUUCUAUUUGCCUAUUCAUCUGUCUUUAUCUCUUAUUUCUCACUCUCAUCAAUUCAGUGACACAAAUGUAUCACGUAAUAAUAAGAAAACGAACGCAAACACAAACCUUCCACGUGGAUUCUCAUAACAUUCCCUCAUUCAUUAUUCCAUCGUUCAUUAGGGUGUCUGGGACCUGUAUUUUAGGCCAACUCUGCACUUGAUUCACACGAUUACACUGUUGAAACUAACACUGCAAACAUGCUCCUCCCACUUCCCUAAUAGUCAUUUAUCAUUGGUAGUUGACAAGCCACGCCUUUUUUUACCUACUAUUACCUAUGUUGAAGUUAUCUUGGCAAAUAGGCUCCUCCCCUUUCCUUAUGUUACGUUUAUUAUUGGUCUGUUUACAAGCUACGCCCUUUCUUUUUACAUUUCCUCUCCUCUGUUCAAGUUAUCAUGGCAAAUAGGCUCCUCCCACUUCCCUAAUAAGCGUCUGUCAUUGGCCAGUACACAAACAAGCUACGCCUUUUUUCCACCGUAGGCUGCCUGGGAUUGGUGGGGGCAAGGCUGAUGUAAUUUUGAACUGCGUGUCAUUAGCCAGUUCGCAAUCCACGCCCACCCUCCAACGUAGGCUGCCUGGGAUUGGUGGUUCCUGGGUUGGAGUGGGCGGGGCUUACCUGCCAAGUUAGUUUGGACAGUGGAUGAGGCGAGGUGGAGGAAGGGAGGAAGAGGGUUGAAGUGUUGGGGGCGCGGGGUGAAGGGCUUGCGGCUUGCCUCAGUGAUUUAUAAUAUGUGGGGUGACUACUGUACUGAUGAUGACGAUGAUGAUGAUGUUGUGCAGCUGCUGUUUUGUAUCCGCCAUAUAUGAAUAAAUACUUUUAUUUAUA